rnacentral:rRNA from 1 species
UACGUAGGGUCCGAGCGUUGUCCGGAAUUAUUGGGCGUAAAGAGCUCGUAGGCGGUCUGUUGCGUCGGCUGUGAAAACCCGGGGCUCAACCCCGGGCCUGCAGCCGAUACGGGCAGACUAGAGUUCGGCAGGGGAGACUGGAAUUCCUGGUGUAGCGGUGAAAUGCGCAGAUAUCAGGAGGAACACCGGUGGCGAAGGCGGGUCUCUGGGCCGAAACUGACGCUGAGGAGCGAAAGCUAGGGGAGCAAACGGG